UGAGAACCCUAGCUUCUCCUCCAUUCAUCCUCUCCCGUCAUUCGAACGAUUAAAGAAAUAUUGAAGUGAGAAAGAGGUGAGGAGGCAAGGUCUUAAACAUAUCCACAAAAGUGGUAGGCUACGGUCUUCAUGUUCUCGACACGGUGGUUUUGAUGGUGACUACAGACUUUAGUCCGACAUUGUAGUAGGGGUCCCAUGGUCUGGUCUGGUCUAAUGGGAGGCGGCGUGGUCAACACUGAGUUUACCGCUAGUUAAGAGGUGCGUAGAGCGAUUGAGAGGGUUUAGUUCUGUUGAGAAACCCAGGGUCACCACACGAGCUCCCCAAUGGCCAACACUAAGAGACGUGUAUUUUGGCGGCUCCAAAUUUAGCCAUGGCCAUGGUUUGAGAUGGAGGGUUUCUUGAGGCUAUCCAUUGAAUUGAUGAUUUUUGGCAUAUUUUUUUUAUGAAACUCUGUUUACAAGAACUUAUUGUA